GUGACCUCAGAUCAGGCAAGACCACCCGCUGAGUUUAAGCAUAUCACUAAGCGGAGGAAAAGAAACUAACAAGGAUUUCCUUAGUAACGGCGAGCGAAU
rnacentral:rRNA from 1 species